CUGGGGGCAGUAUAUGGUGGAUGUACAUAAAAUUUUGGAUUUUGAAGCGCAGGUUCGAUACCUGUCCCUUAGG
rnacentral:tRNA from 1 species